rnacentral:sRNA from 1 species
AGCGGAUGCUGGGGCUGUAAGGCGCGCGCGGUCAGCUGUUGGCGGUGCAGGGAGGAGGACGCCGGGGCUCGCCUUCCCUCCUCUGCCGCCGCUGCCGCCAUGAUUCCGGUGUCGCUGGUGGUGGUGGUGGUGGGUGGCUGGACUGUCGUCUACCUGACCGACUUGGUGCUGAAGUCAUCUGUCUAUUUUAAACAUUCUUAUGAAGACUGGCUGGAAAACAACGGAUUGAGCAUCUCCCCUUUCCACAUAAGAUGGCAAACUGCUGUUUUCAAUCGUGCCUUUUACAGUUGGGGACGGCGGAAAGCAAGGAUGCUUUACCAAUGGUUCAAUUUUGGAAUGGUGUUUGGCGUAAUUGCCAUGUUUAGCUCAUUUUUUCUCCUUGGAAAAACGCUGAUGCAGACUUUGGCACAAAUGAUGGCUGACUCUCCCUCUUCUUAUUCUUCCUCCUCUUCUUCCUCUUCCUCCUCUUCUUCCUCUUCCUCUUCUUCAUCUUCUUCCUCUUCCUCCUCCUCGCUUCACAAUGAACAGGUGUUACAAGUUGUGGUUCCUGGUAUAAAUUUACCCGUCAAUCAACUGACCUAUUUCUUCACGGCAGUUCUCAUUAGUGGUGUUGUACAUGAAAUUGGACAUGGGAUAGCAGCUAUUAGGGAACAAGUUCGAUUUAAUGGCUUUGGGAUUUUUCUCUUCAUUAUUUAUCCUGGAGCAUUUGUUGAUCUGUUCACCACUCAUUUGCAACUUAUAUCGCCAGUCCAGCAGCUAAGGAUAUUUUGUGCAGAUUUCUCCAUCACACAAGACCUGGAGAUCCCGUCAGAUAUUGUGGAGCUCCACGACAUCAAUGUGGAGCCCCUUCCUAUGGAGGACAUUCCGAUGGAAAGCGUCCAGUACGAGGAUGUGGAUGGCAAUUGGAUCUACGGUGGCCACAGCCAUCCGCCUCUGAUGGUGUUGCAGCCGCUCUUCACGAACACGGGCUAUGGCGACCACGACCAGGAAAUGCUUAUGUUGCAGACACAAGAAGAAGUGGUGGGCUAUUGCGACUCAGACAACCAGCUAGGCAACGACUUGGAGGACCAGUUGGCCCUCCCGGAUAGCAUUGAAGACGAGCACUUCCAGAUGACCCUGGCCUCUCUGUCGGCCUCGGCGGCAUCAACAUCAACAUCAACCCAGAGCCGCAGCAAAAAGCCCAGCAAAAAGCCCAGCGGCAAGAGUGCCACCAGCACUGAGGCCAACCCGGCAGGCAGCAGCUCCAGCGAGGGCACGAGGAAGUGGGAGCAGAAGCAAAUGCAGGUCAAAACGCUGGAGGGUGAGUUUUCCGUGACUAUGUGGUCCCCUAACGAUAACAAUGACCAAGGGGCAGUGGGUGAAGGCCAGGCUGAAAACCCACCUGAUUAUUCCGAGUACUUGAAAGGGAAGAAACUUCCUCCUGGGGGGUUACCAGGCGUCGAUCUCUCAGAUCCUAAACAGCUGGCAGAAUUUACUAAAGUGAAGCCCAAAAGGUCCAAAGGAGAACCUCCCAAAACAGUCGCUUGCUCUUAUAGCGGCUGCGAAAAGAUGUUCCGGGAUUACGCCGCCAUGAGAAAACAUCUCCACAUCCACGGGCCCAGAGUCCACGUAUGCACAGAAUGUGGCAAAGCUUUUCUUGAGAGCUCAAAGCUGAGACGACACCAGCUGGUCCACACCGGCGAGAAGCCCUUUCAGUGCACAUUCGAAGGCUGCGGGAAACGCUUUUCCCUUGAUUUCAAUUUGCGCACACACUUGCGCAUCCACACCGGCGAUAAGCCCUUCGUGUGCCCCUUCGAUGUUUGCAACAGGAAGUUCGCUCAGUCAACCAACCUGAAAACCCACAUAUUAACGCAUGUGAAGACCAAAAA